UGAAGCAAAAGUUAGCCCCUACGCGAAGCCAAUUGAUACGCCCAACUUAACUAAUAAGGCCAAAGUUUUAAACCUUUGUCUGUGUCUUUUGCAGUUAAGGUUUCAGCAAUGUUUUGUAUGGAAUACAAGUAUCUUGUUAACAGGAUGAAAAACUCUUCCAGAGUUAUAUUGGAAAGUGCAUUAUAAAUGUUGUCACAACAAAAAUGUGCAUCAGAAAGAAAGACAGGAGAGUCGAAGGUCUAAGGCUCGCCAAAGUUACGCCCAAUGAUGGUAACUUUGCAUCGAAGGAAACAUUCGAGGCAUACUUUUACAUGUUCUAGACUUACAAAGCAUUCAUUUCGACUACGGCCCCUCUCUUUAGAUGAGACUAUAGAUCAAACUGGUUCAUGAAGGCAUCCCCAACCUCUUCAUCUGAGGAACAAAGAGAAAUUCAUGACAUUUAGAUGAAAUUUUUUAAAUCCUCUGCCUUGUCGACUAAAUUAUGUUCUUCCAGGUCAAGUAUCUGGGUGGCUGCUUAUCAGACAAACUUGCUAGCCAAGCAGUUUGGCUUCAGUCAAUUCUUGCCAAAGUCCCUUAUUUCAAAAUAAGAGUCUUAAUUACUGUCGAUGAGCCAGAUGAAGAAUGGCUCCAAAAGUGUUUAAACUUUUUCAAUAAAAAGGCUUUACAUCUCAAUCCUUUCGAAAUCUCUCCUUCAUUCCAUUGUACAAAUGAAUUUGAAGAUUGUGGUUCGCCUAUUAUUGAGGCGUGAUAGAUCCUUUAGUUAUGGUUCAACGCCUAACAUAUGUUUUUUCUUUUCUGCGGAAUCAGACAAGAAAAGAAAAGGUAUGUACAUCAAGGAAAUUCAAGCAUUUCAAUGUUAUUUUGAAACUGUAUAUAAUCCUUGUGAUAUUCGUUGAACCAUAUGUAACGCAACUAUUACCUUAAAACAUAAAGUUAUUGAAAAACUUCAAAAUUUGAAAAGUCAUCCCUAUGUAGAAGAUAUGUAUAACUUUGCAUGAAAAUUUUAUUUUUCUAAACUUCCACCAUUGCCAACUUGUGAAUUUGACUUGACUUUUCGACCACCAAUUCCAUACUAACUCCCAUGUGGAUCUUUAUCAACUUUAAAUAAGAAACUGAAAAGGUCUUGUCAUAGAGUAGUGUCGACUAAAUAUCACAUGGAUAAUUAUAAAGAACAUUUCCAUGUCGAUAUUAAACAUAUUGAAGUCUUGGAACCCAUUUCAGAAGGUGAAAUAUAAGAUUUUUAGGAAAAUUUUGGACUUUCUUUUGUUUCUCUUUUACUCACUUGUGCCAACCUAUUUCAACCAUACCCGUCAACCCAAAGGAAUCAAAGAAACGGCCAAUAGAGCCAAGUAACGAAGAAACAAUGUCUAAUACGGCCACGGAGACAACACAAGGUCGAAAAAGAGGGACCACUUCCACCACUACAGCCUAGAAAAAAAAUAAAAACAAGCAUAACAGAGAAAUUGAAGCCCCUGAAGAAUAACAAGUUUAACUCACCUCCUUGUUCUCUUUCACUUAUUAAUAUUUAUCAUUUAUCAUACUAACCAUGUAGAAUAACUUAGUCUGGACAGACAGAGACAGAACGGGUGGCUGAGAAAGAAGAAAGUUUGCACUCGACUCAACCCAUCCUUCCAGAAUAUCUAACUAUUACGGCUAUCAGAGUUGCAGUCUCAAAAUUUGAGGAUAGGGGAAAGACAAGUGUCAUACGGUGAACUGACUUUUAUGUGUUUUGCUUUGGAAAGCAAAUGUCGCGGUUAGCAAGAGUCGCCACCGACUUUUCUUUUAUCCAAUAAGGAAAGGUGGAAAAGAACAGGAAAGACCUUAGUUUAGAUUUUUGGGUUCGGGAGGUACAUUAUACAAAGGGAAGGUGUUAGCACCCUUUGUAUCCAUGGUUAUCCAUGGGCUCUUAAUUGCUUGAUCACUUAUGUUUUUCUUGUCUGAAAAGUGUGUGAGAGCUGUUUAGAAAAUGUU